rnacentral:rRNA from 1 species
CAGCCGCCACGGUAAUACGAAGGGGGCUAGCGUUGCUCGGAAUCACUGGGCGUAAAGGGUGCGUAGGCGGGUCUUUAAGUCAGGGGUGAAGUCCUGGAGCUCAACUCCAGAACUGCCUUUGAUACUGAAGAUCUUGAGUUCGGGAGAGGUGAGUGGAACUGCGAGUGUAGAGGUGAAAUUCGUAGAUAUUCGCAAGAACACCAGUGGCGAAGGCGGCUCACUGGCCCGAUACUGACGCUGAGGCACGAAAGCGUGGGGAGCAAACAGGAUUAGAGACCCCAGUAGUCCCUGUCUCUUAUAA